rnacentral:rRNA from 1 species
CUACGGAGGGCGCAAGCGUUAUUGGGAAUCACUGGGCGUAAAGGACGCGUAGGCGGGUUGGCAAGUCAGAUGUGAAAUCCUACAGCUUAACUGUAGAACUGCAUUUGAAACUGCUAACCUAGAGUAUGGGAGGGGGAGAUGGAAUUAGUGGUGUAGGGGUAAAAUCCGUAGAUAUCACUAGGAAUACCGAAAGCGAAGGCGAUCUCCUGGAACAUAACUGACGCUAAGGCGUGAAAGCGUGGGGAGCAAACAGGAUUAGAAACCCCAGUAGUCC